rnacentral:snoRNA from 1 species
AUCCUUUUGUGGUUCAUAAGCUUGAUGAUUGAGUUUUCACGUCCACAUGUGAGAUGUGCCUCCCUUGAGCCUUGUCAUCUGCACAUUACUUGCCUGAUG